CAGUGCCGCGGGAACACGUAGGGUGCAAGCGUUAAUCGGAAUUACUGGGCGUAAAGCGUGCGCAGGCGGUUAUAUAAGACAGAUGUGAAAUCCCCGGGCUCAACCUGGGAACUGCAUUUGUGACUGUAUAGCUAGAGUACGGCAGAGGGGGAUGGAAUUCCGCGUGUAGCAGUGAAAUGCGUAGAUAUGCGGAGGAACACCGAUGGCGAAGGCAAUCCCCUGGGCCUGUACUGACGCUCAUGCACGAAAGCGUGGGGAGCAAACAGGAUUAGAUACCCGCGUAGUCCCUGUCUCUUAUACA
rnacentral:rRNA from 1 species